CCUGCCCACCGGAACUAGAGGUGCACUUGACACAUACUGUACAUUUAAUCGCAACAAUGGCAAUAGCACGCGUUGCUACCGAAUAUGUGUUUUCUGAUUUUUUGUUGAAAGAGCCGAGUGAUUCUAAGUAUAAAGGCGUGCGGCUGGAACUGGCAACAGACAAACUGGUCUGUUUUAUCGCGGUUGGGCUUCCUUUGUUAUUCAUCUCACUCGCCUUUGCACAAGAAGUCUCUGUGGGUUCUCAGAUCACAUGUUUUCCCCCAACUAAUUUCACAUUGAGGCAGGCUGCAUAUGUGGACUCCUUCUGCUGGGCUGCAGUAGAGCAUCACCCAACAGAAAAUGGGGCAGAUAGCACCCCUCUUUAUCUACACAAGUUCUUUCCUUAUAUCCUUCUGCUGGUCGCCAUCCUCAUGUACAUUCCUGCUCUCUUCUGGCGCUUCACGGCUGCCCCUUCCCUAUCCUCUGACCUCAGUUUUAUCAUGGAGGAACUCGACCGUUGCUACAACCGUGCCAUCCGCCUCGCCAAGAGCCUCACAUCCAAACAAGACAAGGACAUUGCAGAAGACCCACACAGUGGUCUUGAAAUGACUGAAGCUUGUUUUAAGUACCCUCUUGUAGAGCAGUAUUUAAAGACAAAGCGUUCAUCGUGGGCUUUGGCUGCAAAGUAUCUGCUUUGUCGGGUUUUAACAUUCCUCACUUUACUGCUGGCCUGCUUUUAUCUGACCUACUACAUCUUUUGGGUUUCACCUAGUGAUCAAUUCUCCUGUAACCUGCGCAGAGGUAUAUUAGUAAAUGAGAGUGCGGUGCCAGAUGCAGUUCAAUGUAAGCUGGUGGCAGUGGGUGUUUUCCGCCUGCUAAGUUGCAUGAAUCUGGUGGUGUAUUUACUUUUAGUACCAGCUGUGGUUUACACUGCCUUCCAACCUGCAUGCCAGCACCAGCGUGCUCAGUUCCUCCGUCCAUACCACCUACUGCCUGCGUUCGGUCACGUGCUGGAUUUGCAGCCUACCACUCGCCGUUAUGAUGACCUCAGCAUCUACCUGCUGUUCUUGGAGGAAAACCUGAGUGAGCUUAAGAGCUACAAAUGUUUACAGGUGUUGGAGCUGCUGUCAGAGGGAGGGGAAGCAGCAUUUGACACCAUGUGUCUCCUCAGGACACUAGGACAAGUGAGGACUGACAUGGUGGACAGAAAACAAGCUCAAACUGUAAAGGGUAAUGCAGAGAAAGAAAUCUCUGAAAUAAAGGAUGCCACUUCUGUUCUGCUGGAUGAUGGAGUACAGAUGGAAAAAAGUUGCAGCUGUGUGAAAGACGUAAGACACAGGGUGGUCUAACAUAUAACAAAGUCAAAUCAAAUGACAAACAAUUAGUUUACAUGUUUUUUUGAAUAUAAAGGAAAUGUAAGAUUACAUAAUGCUUGAAUAUAACACUUUACUAAUUUACUAACUGCAGAACUGAGCUUUUUAUGCCUUUAUAUUUUUUAAUAACUUUAAGUUAUUCAUGAGGUUGAUGAAUGUUAAGUCCCUAUUGUAUGCAUUAUGAAAACAAUGAUACAAAAUAUGUUCUGGGGCGACCUUUGUGGGUACAGUGAUGUUGCAACAAUGAAUCUAAAUAAUAAUUAAUAUGCUAAUGUUAGAAUACUAACAACUAACUUCUGCCAAUGUUGUUUCUUGGUAACAAACCAUUUAAGCAAUUCCUCUUAACAUACUAAUAAUUUCAAUAAUUAUAGAAUGAUUGCAUGGUGAGUAAUGUGAACAAAAAGUCAUAAAAAUGUUCAUUAUAAACCAUCCAUUGCUAAUCUUAUAUGCACCAUGUACUUGCAAAAUGAAGAAAUUGGGGUGCAGAAAAGAUGGUGUUUCCCUGAGGCAACAUCAUAGUUAAGACAGAAAAGAUAUGUUCAUUGUAAUCUCUAAAUGAUUGGAAAUUAUUUUUGGUGUGCAAACCAAGGAUUAAUUAGGUUCUAUUUCUAGAGGUAGUGAUGCACUGCCUAUGCAAAAGCAAUAAUCAAACAUACAAACUAUAAUGUAUGAUAUGUAUAAUUAUAUUUCUUUGUUUUUAUGUUAAAUAUUUAGCAGUUUUAUAUUUAUUUGAUACAGAUUUACAGUAUUGUGUCAGAGAUUAUUAUUUUGUAGCUCUAAUUGUAAUGUUUUUGUUUUAUGUUUUCUAACCUUAAAGGGGGUCAUCGGGUGCCCAUUAUUAUAUGGAUGCCCGUUAGUUUAUAUGAUUUUUUAAGAGUCUUAAUUAAAAGUCUAUAACAUACUUUGGCUGAAAUUUCUCAAAAGUAGUGUAGAAAACACCCUUUUUACCCGGUCAAAAUCAGCUCUGUUUUCAGCACGCAGUUCUAGUCCAUGUUGCUUUAAAUGCUAAUGAGCUCUGCUGACCCCGCCCCUCUCUUCUGUGAAAAACAGUUAUACUCACUUCUUCUGGAGAUGAAGCUGGAUCACGAAUGAUUCACCUGAACAUAAAUGCAGAUAGGCAGAUCAGGGAUCGGUGCAUCCCUUUCAAAAUGAAAGUAAUGUUAAUCCUCUGGAUCUUCAGCGGCUCAGAUGUCGGGAGUAAAUAAGGACUGUUAUGUUCAUUAUUACAUCCAGCAACACAACAUCUCAAUCGCUUAAUCUGAGACAUUCUUGUCUUCCCCUGCACCUGAGUCGACACAAUGGUGGACAGCUCUCCACUCACUCAGGGCUGGUCUUGAAGGUGGAUCUGUGAAGACACUUCCAACACACAUUUAUGUUCAGACAACAACAAAAGUGAAUUUUGCAUCCGAUGACCCCUUUAAAUCCUUCAAAGGUGUUAAAUGGCAUGUCUUCAGAGGUGAUCUCUUUAAACAUGGUGCUUGUAACCCUAAUAAAAGAUUUUAAUGGACUGCAUUCAGGGAUGUAGAAUACAGGCUUGUAAUGUAAUAAAAGCACUCCAUUUCCCCCAU